AUUGAACGCUGGCGGCAUGCCUUACACAUGCAAGUCGAACGGCAGCACGGGAGCAAUCCUGGUGGCGAGUGGCGAACGGGUGAGUAAUAUAUCGGAACGUGCCCAGUCGUGGGGGAUAACGUAGCGAAAGCUACGCUAAUACCGCAUACGAUCUAUGGAUGAAAGCGGGGGAUCGCAAGACCUCGCGCGAUUGGAGCGGCCGAUAUCAGAUUAGGUAGUUGGUGAGGUAAAGGCUCACCAAGCCGACGAUCUGUAGCUGGUCUGAGAGGACGACCAGCCACACUGGGACUGAGACACGGCCCAGACUCCUACGGGAGGCAGCAGUGGGGAAUUUUGGACAAU
rnacentral:rRNA from 1 species